AGUUCUCUCGAUGUUGCCCAGGGAGCUGGGGGUGUUUGGAGCAGGGAAGGGACCCAGAAGGAAAGGGGGGGUGCUGUGGAGUGACCAGGAAGAAUGUGGGCUUUUUCUGUUUCCUGGGAGCUCUGGUGAGGUUUGUAGGUGAUGAGCUCCCCCUCUUUUCCGUCCAGGAGCUGCAGGAUCUGCCAAGAGAGGCUGGGGAGGUCCUGAGACCCUUCCCUGUCAGAGAAGAAGAGGCAGAGGGUGGCAAGGGCGUAAGCAUGGCUUUCUCACCCAUUCCCAGGGGACAGGAGGCAUCGGGAGAGUGUCCUGCGUGGGGGAACUGUCAGAGGGGAGGAUGACAUCGUGCCCCCUGCACCUCCAGCCCCCAAUAAUGUGAGGAUGCGCUAAGUUAGGGAAGUGAGGAAAAGGCCCCACUCCUCCUAGCAGAUUUCUGAACUGAGGUGAGGUCUGAACUGGUGGAAAGAUGAAAUUUUGAUUUCAGUCUAGCUGGAAUUUAUUUUAAAAAUCUGCAAAGGAUGCUGUUCUAAAGCUGAAAAGUGACUGGAAAAGCUCUGAGAUGCACCUGGGGUGUUGUCUAGAAGUGGGGAAGGAAGCUCUGGCACAGAAGUUCGGGAAGUGUGGGGAGACAGAAAUUCAUUUCCCCCCAUUCAGAGGGCCAGGCGCAAGUUUCUGCUGAACACUCUCCCGUCUCUUCCAACCUACACCUACAGCCCUGCAUCUUCUCACUGAAAACAUUUCCAUCUUCUGGGUCAACAGCCGCACUUUUUGUGGUGUGUAGAAACGAGAUACAGGGGCCCCCAACACCCAGUGUGUUGGGUGCUGUACAGGAGUGAGCGUUGGCGGCAGCCGGGGCUCGGCUCACCGCCUCAGGGUACUGUGUGUACACAGGAGUCAGGAGUAAGUCACUUUCCCAGCCCGUGAGGCAUCAUUUUAGAGCUGGUUUCUCUACUGUACCAAUGUCCCUGUUCUGCCUGGCCUUUGUCUGCAGCCCUGCUCCCUUCCCUGGCUGUCACCAUUCCAGGAGCUGCCCUCCUGUGCUCUGCACUGCUCCCAUCCACCUGUCCCCGCCCCAGACUGUGGGUGGGAGCCCGACCUGCACUCUGGCUGUGCUGGAACAAAGCGUCAGGGCUUGGUCACCAUCAGCCGCUGACCACGGUCUGCUCGGGCUGCUGGGAGACCAGGCUGUGCUGGGGAGUUCCCGGGGAUCCUGGCGCCUGCCAGGAACCUGAGCUAGGUAGGUGGGAAGUAGUUGUGAGCAAGACUUACGGCCUCACGGUGAUGGGAACAGGAAGGUUCAGCUGCCAGAUGCACACAGAGUAGUCAGCAGCGCGGCCCUGGGCUCUCAGGCUUGGGGUGAAACCCUGAUCUCCCCAUUUCCAGCCACGUGGCCUUGCUCACCUCUCCAGCCUGGGUCUAUCUGUGGAAUGGGAUGCGGUGGUGCCGACGCCACGGGGCUGUUAUAAAAAUGCUCGUUUCAGCUUGGAACUUACACCGGCCCUCCCCGUGCUCCCUGAGUGGCUGCUGUGCUGGGCCUGAGGGCUGCUUGCUCCUUCCCUCACUGUUCCCAAGCUGUCGGCUGCCCUCUGAGGUCUUCAUUUGGGGGCGGUUGUACUGAGACGUCUGCGGACUCAGGCUCCGCGAGGGUGCGUUCUCCUGGGGUCUCAGCUCCUUGGUCUGACGGAAAGCGAUGCUUCCUGUUGGAGAGAUUGAGUGUGGAUCUGAAAGUUCCCUCACCUUGGGUUCACUUGUUAGCACGGCUCCUGACCCAGCUGUCUGCUGCCUGUCUGAGGACAAUGGAAACCUGCUGUCUUUCAGAGUGAAAUUCUUAUUGACAUUCAAAGAGUAAACAUCUACCAAGAUACAUUUGCUUAUUUUGUCUUCUUCCUGGUGAGUUGGAAAUACCUGGAUUUUUGCCAUAAUAAAGGCAUUUCUCAAUGACAGACACUGUACCAUCACUACAUAGCAAGUUUUAACCCCCACACUGAGGAGUAAAAUCUCCAGCAUCCGCCUCUCUGGGGUUGGCUCUCAGGCAGUGGUAAUUAUCAGGAUUUUAUCCUAGAAAACAAGGCAAGUCUAACACACCGUUUCUCAAUUAAGUUUCCUGAAAACCAAUUUAUUCUAUUUGAGUAAAUUAUAUAUUUGAUACUGAAAUUACAGAAACAUUUUACUGUUUCACUAGCGUACACUCACGGGUGCUUUGCAG
rnacentral:lncRNA from 10 species